rnacentral:rRNA from 1 species
CCUACGGGUGGCAGCAGUGGGGAAUAUUGGACAAUGGGGGAAACCCUGAUCCAGCGACGCCGCGUGGGUGAUGAAGGCCUUCGGGUCGUAAAGCCCUGUCUGGGGGGACGAACCUCUUGUCGGUGAAUAUCCGGCGAGACCGACGGUACCCCCGAAGGAAGCACCGGCUAACUCUGUGCCAGCAGCCGCGGUAAGACAGAGGGUGCGAGCGUUGUUCGGAAUUACUGGGCGUAAAGGGCGCGUAGGCGGCCCGCUAAGUUCGGUGUGAAAGCCCUCGGCUCAACCGAGGAAGUGCGCCGGAUACUGGCAGGCUUGAGUACCGGAGAGGAGGGUGGAAUUCCUGGUGUAGCGGUGAAAUGCGUAGAUAUCAGGAGGAACACCGGUGGCGAAGGCGGCCCUCUGGACGAGUACUGACGCUGAGGCGCGAAAGCGUGGGGAUC